rnacentral:rRNA from 1 species
CCUACGGGUGGCAGCAGUGGGGAAUAUUGGGCAAUGGGCGCAAGCCUGACCCAGCAACGCCGCGUGAAGGAAGAAGGCUUUCUGGUUGUAAACUUCUUUUGACAGGGAAGAGCAGAAGACGGUACCUGUCGAAUAAGCCACGGCUAACUACGUGCCAGCAGCCGCGGUAGUACGUCGGUGGCAAGCGUUGUCCGGAUUUACUGGGUGUAAAGGGCGUGUAGGCGGGCUGACAAGUCAGAUGUGAAAUCCUGGGGCUCAACCCCCGAACUGCAUUUGAAACUGUUGGUCUUGAGUAUCGGAGAGGUAGGCGGAAUGCAUAGUGUAGCGGUGAAAUGCGUAGAGAUUAGGCGGAACACCAGUGGCGAAGGCGGCCUGCUGGACGACAACUGACGGUGAGGCGCGAAAGCGUGGGGAGCAAACAGGAUUAGAUACCCGUGUAGUC